rnacentral:lncRNA from 1 species
AUGAUGAAUGAUUAUUCUAUAGGCAAAGCAGGAAAGGACAUGCCAGGGAAGAAGAACACGACGGACAAACUCACAAGGACUAGACAUAGCCGUAUCCAUUUGAAACACUGUUUCCAUUCUUGGGGAAAAUCUGCUGUCUGGAAGGUACCACCUUCUGGCGAUACCAAGAUGAAAACAGAAAACAAGAAGAAAUUAAGCCAUCUGUCUAUUUCCUUUCUUGGUUCCUCACCAAACCCUUAACCAUGUUAGAAACACCACACAGCACUUUUCUGAAAGGAUUUCACUCUGGCCCAGUCUGGAGUGCAGUGGCAUGAUCUCUGGUCACUGCAGCCUUGAUUUCCUGGGCUCAAGCCAUCCUUCUGCCUCAGCCCUCCAAGUAGCUGGGACUACAGAUGUGCACCACCAUGCCUGGGUAAUUUUUUGACUUUUAGUAGAAACAAGCUCUCGCUGUGUUGCCCAGGAUGGUCUCAAAUUUCUGAACUCAAGCAAUCUUCCCGGCUCAGCCUCCCAAAGUGCUGGAGUUACAGACUUGAGCCACUGCGCCUGGUCUAGAAAGGAAAUUAUUUUUAUGCCAUUUUUAACCACUUAUCUCUUCCACACUGAUUUUAAAAAACUAUCUCUAUUAAAUAAUAAGGUUCAAAAUGUUUGGAUCUGUGUCUAGGUCUUCUAUUCUGUUGAUUUGUUUUGUCUGUUCUUGCACCAAUACCAUAUUUUAAAAUCACUAUAAAUUUACUGUCUUUUUGAUAAAGAGGGCUCUCUUCUUCAUUUAGAUGCUUGAAAUACAUAGUAUACAAAAUUGAUAUGCUUUACUUCUCUUAUGUACCUCACAUUCUACCAAAAGGCGACAAAGUAAACAAAAAUAAAUAAAUAAAUAACAUACGGCAUUGUAGGGGAAACAAAAGAUUCCUUUUCUCACCCAUCAUAAGGUUCAUGGCUGAGACCCUUAUGACAAAAGACUGAUUAACAAGAGAGAAGCACAUAGUUUAUUUAAGUUUUAUGUGACACAGGAGCCUUCAGAAAUGAAAACCCAUGGGAACAGGGAAAACCAUUUUUGUGGAUAGUCAUGCGGAAUUAUGAUUGGA